rnacentral:hammerhead_ribozyme from 1 species
AUCCGGCUGACAAGUCCCAAAUAGGACGAAAGGCACGUCGGGAU